CACAUGUACGUAACUUAACUUGAUUGAGUCGUAAGAAAAACUGUGGAAUUGGGUGACAAUCGGAGUAUUAUUUAUUGGAGACCGCAAGAAAGGGAAACUAUUAAUAACAGUACAACAGGUUAUAAAUAGUGGUGUUAAAAAUUGAGGAGGAAAGUGGUAUUAGUCAGGCACGGGGGUGAAGCGGGAUUACCGCCUCCCCAAGCGUCUGCGAUCGUACUGAUCCUAAAAAGUAUCAGGACACGUUAUAUUUUUGAAAAGAUAGGGGAGGAAGAAGCUAACUAAAGCUACGAAGGGGAUUGGGAUAGGAGGGAGAUACGCGACCGUGGACAAACGUGUGGGGAGGACGAGGACUCUGUCGGGGGGACAGGAGACAGGAGGCGAAAGAUAAAGUAAGGACCCGUUGCUGUUACGAGCAAAGGGGAAGAAGAAGAAGAAGAAGAAGAAGAAGAAGAAGAUGCAGAAGAGGAAGAUGAUGAAGAAGAAGAAGAAGCAAGAAGGAAGGCGCGGAAGAGAACGGAAUCCCUCAUUUUUUUAUCUUCUUUCUUCUUACUCCUCCUCCUCCUCCUCCUCCUCCUCCUUCUUCUUCUCGGUGUGUCCUCCUCUUACUCUUAUUCUUAUUCUUGCGGCUGGUACUCACACUUAACUCAACAGGCUCUCUUUUUCUACUCUUCUUUGCUUCCUUUUGUUGUGCUUGGUCUCAUCUCCUCCUCUUUAAGAGUGACUCGUCUCUACUUUGUCUCUGGUGGUACUUCCCUCCUCCUUUUAGUCACGCAUGCAUUUUACGCACGUGUGUCGUUAUCGUCGGGCACAUUACAAGACUCUUCGUGUCUCAUGUAUAUGACGCUAUCACGGUUUGUUUUUUACCGAGCACUUUUCUGUUUGUUGUUUUUAUAGUUUAUUUUCCCACCCUUUUUCCUUUUUCAAGCUUGCUUUGUUUAUUUUCGCAGCCUGGUAGCGAAAAUUAACCACCGUAUAGUACACCGACACACCGACAGCCUGGGACAAACUGUUCCAUUCGCUUUUGCUUCAUUUGGCUUUGUUCCUUUUGUUUACGGACCGAGCGAGGUAUGACAACAGUCAGCUAAACUUGUUGUUUUUAUUGCUGUUAUUGUUGUUGUUAUUGUUGUUGUUGUUGUUGUUGUAGGAAAGAACAGAGUAAAAUCAAGCUAAAGUUUGGUGUAAUCGGUUGGUUGUGGUUCUUUGGCGUGAGUACCACCGAGAAGAAUAUAAUACAAUAGGUAUUAUUUAGAAAUGAGUCGAGAUCUGAGACAGCAAUUGUAAUGGAUAAUUUUGUUGUUUAAGAAUUAUAGAUAACAUACUUUAAUUGCAAGGAAACUGCUACUGAUGAAAAUUAUGACAUUAAGUUAGCAGUUACUUAACAAUUUUUUAGUUUUGUUUAACAAAAAAAAUUGUUCCA